UAUGUACUCCCUCCGUCCCAAAAUACUUGUCUUAGAUUUGUCUAAAUACGGAUGUAUCAAGUCACAUUUUAGUAUUAGAUACAUCCGUAUCUAGACAAAUCUAAGACAAGAAUUUUGGGACGGAGGGAGUAUGUU
rnacentral:pre_miRNA from 1 species